rnacentral:rRNA from 1 species
CAAUAGCGUAUAUUAAAGUUGUUGCGGUAAAAAAGCUCGUAGUUGGACUUCUGUUGAGAGAUACCGGUCCAUGCAACGCAUGCGUAUUUGGUAAGUCUCGGCAUCCUCUCGAAAAACUUCUUUGCGCUUGAUUGCGUGAAAAGAGUUUCGGGACUUUUACUUUGAGGAAAUUAGAGUGUUCACGGCAGGCCAUCGCCAGGAUACAUUAGCAUGGAAUAAUACUAUAGGAUCUUGAUCCUAUUUUGUUGGUUUCUAGGAUUAAGAUAAUGAUUAAUAGGGACAAUUGGGGGCAUUCGUAUCAACACGUCAGGGGUGAAAUUCUUGGAUUGUGUUGCGACGAACUACUGCGAAAGCAUUUGCCAAGGAUGUUUUCAUUGA